rnacentral:rRNA from 1 species
GACGAACGCUGGCGGCGUGCUUAACACAUGCAAGUCGAACGGAAAGGCCCUGCUUUUGUGGGGUGCUCGAGUGGCGAACGGGUGAGUAACCCGUGAGUCUCCUGCCCUUGACUUUGGGAUAACUUCAGGAAACUGGGGCUAAUACCGGAUAGGAGCUCCUGCUGCAUGGUGGGGUUCGGAAAGCUUCGGCGGUUGGGGAUGGACUCGCGGCUUAUCAGCUUGUUGGUGGGGUAGUGGCUGACCAAGGCUUUGACGGGUAGCCGGCCUGAGAGGGUGACCGGCCACAUUGGGACUGAGAUACGGCCCAGACGCCUACGGGAGGCAGCAGUGGGGAAUAUUGCACAACGGUCGGAAGCGUGAUGCAGCAACGCCGCGAGCGUGAUGACGGCCUUCGGGUUGUAAACCGCUGUCGCCUGUGACGAAGCGUGAGUGACGGUAAUGGGUAAAGAAGCACCGGCUAACUACGUG